rnacentral:rRNA from 1 species
AAUAUUUCGCAAUGGAGGGAACUCUGACGCAGCGACGCCGCGUGAGCGAUGAAGGUCUUCGGAUCGUAAAGCUCUGUCCUUGUGGGAGAAGGUCUUCGGACUUGACGGUGCUUAAGGAGGAAGCCCCGGCUAACUACGUGCCAGCAGCCGCGGUAAUACGUAGGGGGCAAGCGUUGUCCGGAAUUAUUGGGCGUAAAGGGUGCGUAGGCGGCCUUUUAAGUCAGAUGUGAAAGCCCACGGCUUAACCGUGGUACUGCAUUUGAAACUGGAGCGCUUGAGUAUCGGAGAGGGUAGUGGAAUUCCUAGUGUAGCGGUGAAAUGCGUAGAGAUUAGGAGGAACACCAGUGGCGAAGGCGACUUUCUGGACUGUAACUGACGCUGAGGCACGAAAGCGUGGGUAGCGAAC